rnacentral:rRNA from 1 species
UUAGUGGCAGACGGGUGAGUAAUGCGUAGGAAUCUACCUAGUAGUAUGGAAUAGCCAUUAGAAAUGAUGGGUAAUACUGUAUAAUCCCUGCGGGGGAAAGAUUUAUCGCUAUUAGAUGAGCCUACGUUAGAUUAGCUAGUUGGUAAGGUAAUGGCUUACCAAGGCUAUGAUCUAUAGCUGGUCUGAGAGGACGAUCAGCCACACUGGAACUGAGAUACGGUCCAAACUCCUACGGGAGGCAGCAGUGGGGAAUAUUGGACAAUGGGCGAAAGCCUGAUCCAGCUAUGCCGCGUGAGUGAAGAAGGCCUUCGGGUUGUAAAGCUCUUUCAAUAGGGAAGAUAAUGACGGUACCUAUA